UACGGAGGGGACUAGCGUUGUUCGGAAUUACUGGGCGUAAAGCGUGCGCAGGCGGUUUUGUAAGUCUGUCGUGAAAUCCCCGGGCUUAACCUGGGAAUGGCGAUGGAGACUGCAAGGCUAGAAUCUGGCAGAGGGGGGUAGAAUUCCACGUGUAGCAGUGAAAUGCGUAGAGAUGUGGAGGAACACCGAUGGCGAAGGCAGCCCCCUGGGUCAAGAUUGACGCUCAUGCACGAAAGCGUGGGGAGCAAACAGG
rnacentral:rRNA from 1 species